GAUGGUGAAGUCCCUUGCGGAUGGAGCUGACGAGAGUCGCAGAUACCAGGUGGCUGCAACUGUUUAUUAAAAACACAGCACUGUGCAAAAUCGUAAGAUGACGUAUACGGUGUGACGCCUGCCCGGUGCCGGAAGGUUAAUUGAUGGGGUUAGACUUCGGUCGAAGCUCUUGAUCGAAGCCCCGGUAAACGGCGGCCGUAACUAUAACGGUCCUAAGGUAGCGAAAUUCCUUGUCGGGUAAGUUCCGACCUGCACGAAUGGCGUAAUGAUGGCCACGCUGUCUCCACCCGAGACUCAGUGAAAUUGAAAUCGCUGUGAAGAUGCAGUGUACCCGCGGCUAGACGGAAAGACCCCGUGAACCUUUACUACAGCUUGGCACUGAACAUUGACCCUACAUGUGUAGGAUAGGUGGGAGGCUUUGAAGCACGUACGCCAGUAUGUGUGGAGCCGUCCUUGAAAUACCACCCUUGUAGUGUUGAUGUUCUAACGUCGACCCCUUAUCGGGGUUGCGGACAGUGCCUGGUGGGUAGUUUGACUGGGGCGGUCUCCUCCCAAAGAGUAACGGAGGAGCACGAAGGUGGGCUAAUCACGGUUGGACAUCGUGAGGUUAGUGCAAUGGCAUAAGCCCGCUUGACUGCGAGAAUGACAAUUCGAGCAGGUGCGAAAGCAGGUCAUAGUGAUCCGGUGGUUCUGAAUGGAAGGGCCAUCGCUCAACGGAUAAAAGGUACUCCGGGGAUAACAGGCUGAUACCGCCCAAGAGUUCAUAUCGACGGCGGUGUUUGGCACCUCGAUGUCGGCUCAUCACAUCCUGGGGCUGAAGUCGGUCCCAAGGGUAUGGCUGUUCGCCAUUUAAAGUGGUACGCGAGCUGGGUUUAGAACGUCGUGAGACAGUUCGGUCCCUAUCUGCCGUGGGCGUUGGAAGAUUGAAGGGGGCUGCUCCUAGUACGAGAGGACCGGAGUGGACGAACCUCUGGUGUUCGGGUUGUGUCGCCAGACGCAUUGCCCGGUAGCUAAGUUCGGAAUCGAUAACCGCUGAAAGCAUCUAAGCGGGAAGCGAGCCCUGAGAUGAGUCUUCCCUGAUACUUUAAGUAUCCUAAAGGGUUGUCGGAGACUACGACGUUGAUAGGUCAGGUGUGUAAGUGCUGUGAGGCAUUGAGCUAACUGAUACUAAUUGCCCGUGAGGCUUAACCAUACAACACCCAAGGGGUUU
rnacentral:rRNA from 1 species